rnacentral:tRNA from 1 species
GCAAGUAAAGCCUCUUUAGCUCAGUCGGCAGAGCGUAGGUCUCAUAUCCAAAAUCAAGAGC